rnacentral:lncRNA from 1 species
AAAUUGUAAUCUUGACUCAACGACUUAUUUCUAAUAUUGGCUCUCACCUAAAAUGAUUUUUAUAAAAUCAUGCAUCAUUAGGUUUUAAAGAAAUAAGUUGCAUAUUAGCCAAAAUGAUUUUUAAACUCGUCUUGAGAAUUUUGGGUUUAAACAAUCGAUUGUCUAAGACAACAAUCGAUUGUCAAAGUGUUUUUACUUAGCCUCAAAAAUAUUGUCUUGAGACAGAAAGUUUGUUUGAAAUCAUUUUUGA